rnacentral:pre_miRNA from 17 species
GAAUUUGUUUGCAACCCGUCGUCUAUAUAUACCCUGUAGAACCGAAUUUGUGUGAUGUUUCGGUCACAGAUUCGUUUCUAGGGGAGUCUAUGGUCGAUGCCAACACUACGAAAAUCA